rnacentral:siRNA from 1 species
GACCGCACCAUCACACUCGACCU